rnacentral:rRNA from 1 species
UACGUAGGAUCCAAGCGUUGUCCGGAUUUACUGGGUGUAAAGGGUGCGCAGGCGGACUGGUAAGUCUGUGGUGAAAUCUCGCCGCUUAACGGCGAAACUGCCUUAGAUACUAUCAGUCUUGAAUAAGCGAGAGAUCCGUGGAAUUCCGAGUGUAGCAGUGAAAUGUGUAGAUAUUCGGAAGAACACCAGAGGCGAAGGCAGCUGGUUGGCGCUUUAUUGACGCUCAGGCACGAAAGCAUGGGGAUCAAACAGG